ACUCGCAUUUCAUACCUGGUGAUCUCAGAGGACAAAAGCAGCGUUACAGCGGCGCACAUCGAUGAGAGCUGAUGCUCUCAACACUUCAGACCUCCGCCUGUCUCUGAGAAAACCAACAAUGGCUGUCAGCAGCAACUACACCUGCUCCACCAGUGCUGGGAGAGAAGAGCUGAGACUGACAGCUCUUUGUACAGGCCUUCACCUCCUCAUUCAUCCACAGUCUGCCUCCCUCUGCUCCAUCAGCUGACGUCCUCUGUACAACUACCUGCUGUGUGCACAUCUUUGAUUUCUUCUUCUUUUUAUCCUGCAAAGCUGAAAAAUCACUAUAAUACAAACACAUUUCACA